AACGAACGCUGGCGGCAUGCCUAACACAUGCAAGUCGAACGAGACCUUCGGGUCUAGUGGCGCACGGGUGCGUAACGCGUGGGAACCUGCCUUUAGGUUCGGAAUAACUCAGAGAAAUUUGAGCUAAUACCGGAUGAUGUCUUCGGACCAAAGAUUUAUCGCCUUUAGAUGGGCCCGCGUUGGAUUAGCUAGUUGGUGGGGUAAAGGCCUACCAAGGCGACGAUCCAUAGCUGGUCUGAGAGGAUGAUCAGCCACACUGGGACUGAGACACGGCCCAGACUCCUACGGGAGGCAGCAGUGGGGAAUAUUGGACAAUGGGCGAAAGCCUGAUCCAGCAAUGCCGCGUGAGUGAUGAAGGCCUUAGGGUUGUAAAGCUCUUUUACCCGAGAUGAUAAUGACAGUAGCUGGAGAAUAAGCUCCGGCUAACUCCGUG
rnacentral:rRNA from 1 species